rnacentral:lncRNA from 1 species
AAAAAACCGGGUGUGUCACGGUUAUUUUUUUUUUCUACUCCCAGUUUUACCCUUUGCCAGGUUUCUGGAAAGGUGAUGGGUCAGGCAAUUGUCUUCUAGUCAUGAGGGUAGCAUUUUAAAGAAGUUUCUUUUCUCAUAAAGUUGGGAGUGGGUUCCUGAAGAGAUGGCUCUGCAGUCAAGAGCACUUGCUGCUGACCUGGGUUCAGUCCUCAACACCCAUCAGAUGGCUCCCCUUCAUCUUGUAACUCCAGUUCCUGAGUGUCUCUCUGAAAUCCAAUGUGUGAAACCAAGAUGUUGUCGAUAAAGAACAGGCAUGUUAGUCAAGUAAUGCUUACCUCUAAAGACAUGCCCACUUGUAUUCACCCUGCAUUUCUUCACUCUACACUGAAAAACUAAUCAUGAGGAUAAACCCUAUGAAUGUAAGACAUGGGAAAAGACUUUUAAUCAGAACUUA